rnacentral:rRNA from 1 species
AGAGUUUGAUCAUGGCUCAGGACGAACGCUGGCGGCGUGGAUUAGGCAUGCAAGUCGAACGGUAUAAACCUUUCGGGGUUUAGAGAGUGGCGAACGGGUGAGUAACACGUAGGUAAUCUACCCUCAAAACGGGGACAACCCAGGGAAACUUGGGCUAAUACCGGAUGCGUGCAAGCAAUGUUUUGGCUGUUAAUGCUAUUCACGGAAGUGAGUAGUGUUAAUGGUUGAGAGCAUUAUUUGCAUAAAAGGUGGCGUAUGCUGCCGUUUGAGGAUGAGCCUGCGUCCUAUUAGUUAGUUGGUGAGGUAAUGGCUUACCAAGGCGAUGAUAGGUAGGCGGCCUUAACGGGUGGUCGCCCACACUGGGAUUGAGAGACGGCCCAGACUCCUACGGGAGGCAGCAGUCGAGAAUAGUCUACAAUGGACGGAAGUCUGAUAGUGCGACGCCGCGUGAACGAAGAAUCCCUUCGGGGUGUAAAGUUCUUUUAUACGUGAGCAGUGCCCUUUAUAUGAAUAGUAUAGAGGGAGGGAUUUAAGCGUAUGAAUAAGCAACGGCUAACUCCGUGCCAGCAGCCGCGGUAACACGGGGGUUGCAAGCGUUGUCCGGAAUUACUAGGCGUAAAGUGCAGGUAGGCGGAUAGAUAAGUUUAAGGUUAAAGGCUACGGCUUACCCGUAGUAAGGCGUUAGAUACUGUUUAUCUGGAAUGCGGUUGAGGGAGACAGAAUUCCUGGUGUAGCGGUGGAAUGCGCAGAGAUCAGGAGGAAUACCGAAGGCGAAGGCAGUCUUCUAAGCCGAUAUUGACGCUAAACUGCGAAGGUGUGGGGAUCAAACAGGAUUAGAUACCCUGGUAGUCCACACAGUAAACGAUAAUCACUAGGUGUUGGGUUCGUAUAGGACUCGGUGCCGGAGCUAACGCGAUAAGUGAUUCGCCUGGGGAGUACGAUCGCAAGGUUGAAACUCAAAUGAAUUGACGG